rnacentral:rRNA from 1 species
UACGUAGGGUGCAAGCGUUGUCCGGAAUUAUUGGGCGUAAAGAGCUCGUAGGCGGUUUGUCGCGUCGAAUGUGAAAACCCGGGGCUCAACUCCGGGCCUGCAUUCGAUACGGGCAGACUAGAGUUCGGUAGGGGAGACUGGAAUUCCUGGUGUAGCGGUGAAAUGCGCAGAUAUCAGGAGGAACACCGGUGGCGAAGGCGGCGACCUGGUCCUUGACUGACGCUGAGGAGCGAAAGCGUGGGGAGCGAACAGG